GGGUCAUCGUCGGAGGGGCUUGGGUAGUAUUUUCCGUCGGGGCCAAUGGCGGAGAUGGUGGUGGUGGUGGGGUGGGUGGGGUGCUUGAGGUGGAGGGAAGGGAGGGGUUUGAAGUGGAGGGGGGGUGGGGUAUGGUGGUGGAGAAGGGAAGGGAAAGGUGGAGGAGGGAGGAGGAUGAAUGGCAUGGUGGCCGGAGUUUGGUCGGAGGGGUUUUUUCAGGUGGUCGGAGUUUGGUCGGAGGGGUUUCUAAGGUGGUCGGAGGUUUUUGAGUGUGUCCGUUGUAGGAGGAUAGGGGUUUAGGGGAAUUUUUGGAAAGUGAAAAAGGUGAUGUUGUUGGGAGUUUUUAACUAUUUAUACUACUUUGGAA
rnacentral:lncRNA from 1 species